rnacentral:tRNA from 1 species
UGGGGCGUCGCCAAGCGGUAAGGCUCGGGACUCUGACUCCCGCAUCGGUGGUUCGAAUCCAUCCGCCCCAGCCA